AGUCCCACCAGCUUCUGAUGUGUUGGACACAGCUCACAGGACCUGGUGGCAGAGCCUCCCCACGUGCCCAGGAGGUGAUGCAAGUCACACUCGUCAUUCAGCAGAAGAUGUUGCAAUAGGGCAAUGAGGAAAUUUGCCCAGGACCACUGAAGGGAAUCAGUGGCAAAGGAGACACGGAAAAAUCAGCCCUCGGAAGAGACUAGAUGGCUCCCACCAGCAAGAUUGACCUUCACAAUGUGGCAUCCAUGCAGCACAAAGAAGGGACGAGAGUCCUCUGUGGGGACAAGAUGAGGAGACAGCCUGCCCACCAGCUCAGCUCUGCCUGCAGGAUGCGGCUCCAGGACCAGAUGCAACUACAAAAGCAAAAAGCCAGCAACUGAUGAAGAUUUUGCAAACAGAUUUGAAGACAUUUGGAAAUUCUAAUGGAAAAAACAUUUGACAGUUUGCAAAAUAAUAAUAAUAAUAAUAAUAAUAAU